GACGAACGCUGGCGGCGUGCUUAACACAUGCAAGUCGAACGGAAAGGCCCUGCUUUUGUGGGGUGCUCGAGUGGCGAACGGGUGAGUAACACGUGAGUAACCUGCCCUUGACUUUGGGAUAACUUCAGGAAACUGGGGCUAAUACCGGAUAGGAGCUCCUGCUGCAUGGUGGGGGUUGGAAAGUUUCGGCGGUUGGGGAUGGACUCGCGGCUUAUCAGCUUGUUGGAGGGGUAGUGGCUUACCAAGGCUUUGACGGGUAGCCGGCCUGAGAGGGUGACCGGCCACAUUGGGCCUGAGGUACGGCCCAGACUCCUACGGGAGGCAGCAGUGGGGAAUAUUGCACAAUGGGCGGAAGCCUGAGGCAGCGACGCCGCGUGCGGAAUGACGGCCUUCGGGUUGUAAACCGCUUUUGCCUGUGACGAAGCGUGAGUGACGGUAAUGGGUAAAGAAGCGCCGGCUAACUACGUG
rnacentral:rRNA from 1 species